rnacentral:sRNA from 1 species
AUUCUGCCCGUGCAGGGAAGGAUGAGAAGCUUCGACCAGGUUCGAUUCGAGCGCAGCGAGAAAGCGUUGCCGCAGGCAACGACCCGAAGGGUGAG